rnacentral:lncRNA from 1 species
CAAACGGGUGGAGAUUCCCGGCAGCGUCCUGGACGAUCUCUGCAGGUACUACUAGUUCAGGGGUACCUAGCAAAAUCAGGCUGGGGAUUUCCAAAAGGAAAAGUAAAUAAAGAAGAAGCUCCUCAUGAUUGUGCUGCUAGAGAGGUCUUUGAAGAAACUGGUUUUGAUAUCAAAGACUAUAUUUGUAAGGAUGAUUACAUUGAACUUCGAAUCAAUGACCAGCUUGCUCGUUUGUACAUCAUUCCAGGAAUUCCAAAAGACACAAAAUUUAACCCAAAAACUAGAAGAGAAAUUCGGAACAUUGAGUGGUUCUCUAUUGAGAAAUUGCCUUGUCAUAGAAAUGAUAUGACCCCCAAAUCCAAACUUGGUUUGGCACCUAACAAAUUUUUUAUGGCCAUUCCCUUUAUCAGACCAUUAAGGGACUGGCUUUCUCGAAGAUUUGGCGAUUCCUCAGACAGUGACAAUGGAUUUUCCUCAACUGGUAGCACGCCGGCUAAACCCACUGUGGAAAAAUUGAGAAUCAAAGUAUGAGGGGAAAUGGCAGAAAACAGUAUCAAGAUUCACCUAAUC